rnacentral:lncRNA from 12 species
GACAUCUGUGCCGGGCCUUCCCCAGCACCAGGCAGGGUUUGUGCGCGGUGGCGGGAGCCUCCGGGGCCUCCCAGGGGAGGUAGCGGGGCGCAGCCGGGCUAGGGGGGCCCUUUUGCGUGUCCAGGGGGCUGUGGGCAGCCCUCACAGGAGGGGGCUCGUGGGGGCCCCGGGAGCCCUGCGUGGGGCAGGGACAGGGCGUGUCUGCUUGAACCAUGAGACUUGGACCCCUCCCCAGAAGGGGAGAAAGCUGGGUGGGGGGUCCUGCAGCAGGUGCUCACGGUCACGCUUCCCAAGCACAAAGCCCCACCUCCAAGCCUUUGCCCCCACUAUUCCCCACCCCCCACCCCCUCAUGGUCUUCUCCUUUUAUUCAUUUCCUGCCACAAGCAUGAAUUGAGCACCUACUGUGUACCAAGCACUGCCCAAGCACCAGGAAGAUAGCAGCGACCCAAAUAGCCCCCAACAACCCCGCCCCCAAAACAAAAUGUCUCUGACCCUGGUGGGCUCGGCCUGAGAUUACCAAGUGGAUAAAUCAGAUAUUUUCAAAGACCAAGCACCGGGAAGGAAACAGAACAUGACCUGAUGGGAAAGGAAGGACCGGGAAGCUGCUUUAGCACGAGGCGGGUGGUGGUGGUGGGGGGUGUAGUAGUCAGGGAGGGGCUUUCAGAUGAGGUGGCAUUGGAGCUGAGAGGUGGCACAGGAGAAGAGCCAGCUGGGGGAAGAGUGAGGGGAAGGACAUUCUGGAGCGAGGGAACAGCAAGUGCAAAGGCCCUGAGGCGGGAUCGUGGCCGCCAAGAAGAGCAAGGAGGCUCCAGGGGCUGGAACCCCGUGAACAAGGGAUGGUCGGGCGCUGUGAGCAGCAGCCACCAUACGGCGGCGGCGAUGGGACACAGAGGACCCCACAAGGCUGUGGAUCUAGCCCUGUGUGCGGAGGGCUCUCUCUGCAGAAGGCCCCCCAGACGGGCGUGUGCAGGAUCUUCCUCAACAGACCUCCGAGCCGGGAGCAGCUGCGGGAGGCCGGUGCCCGCCUCGUUGGAGGUUUUGCGCGAUGCCAGCGUGUUGGAGAGCCUCCGCUUCCUCUGCCGCCAAGAGAGGGGCAUGGCUCCGGAGAGGUCAGGGCCCGUUUGCCGGGGCUGGGGACUGAGGGGGGAUGGGGGGGCUUGCAGCAGUCAGCUAAUCCCGGGGUACUGCCACGUAACGACCGGCCCCGCGGUCCCGCGGCGUGUACCAGCCAAUGCUGGUUUUUGGCUUCCAGGUCUCUGCUCGCUCUCCCGGGGAGCUCAUCCAUCCUGCAGCUUCGGAGGUUCCUGCCCAGUGUGGCCUCGACCCUGAGCUGCUGUCUACACUCCAGACCCAGCUAGUCAGCACGUUCCCCCCUCGGGGCAGGACUGGAACCGAGAAUCUUCAUCACAGGGGCGGGUGGCUCAGCAGGUGAGCAUCUGCCUUCGGUUCAGGGCGUGACCCCAGGGUCCUGGGAUGAGUCCUGCAUCAGGCUCCCCACAGGGAGCCUGCUUCUCCCUCUGCCUGUGUCUCUGCCUCUCUCAUGAGUAAAUAGAUUUUUAAAAAAGAUUCUUCAUUGCCCACCCACACGUCCUCUUCUUGGCAAUGCCUGGUCACCUGCCUUGUUCCCUUGGUCCAAGACCCAGGCAUCCACCACCCCUCCUCCCACCUCCUGCCCAUCACCCAGCAGUCUCCGCAUCCCACUACUACCCUCCGCCCCCAUCCCCUCCUUUCCGUGUCCCCAUUCGUCUCCCUUCAUCUUAUCUCCGGAUGACAGAAACCAC